GCGUCUGUAGCUCAGUUGGUUAGAGUACUACCUUGACAUGGUAGGGGUCGGUGAUUCGAGUUCACUCAGACGCACCA
rnacentral:tRNA from 6 species